AAUCCCCUUCGCUGACGUCAGCCGGCUCAGCUGUGCUGACAGAAAGGCGCGGAGCGGCUUCGACCCCGGGCGCUGGGGCAAGGCGCCAUGAAUUUCCAUAUUGUUCGAAAAUAAAAAGAACCAGAAGUUCCUGGAAGCACUGAGCAAGGUCAGACCGCAUCUGAAAGCAGCAUAAAAAAGGCAACAACAUCUGUGGGAAGAGGAGCACUUAACCUUUUCAGAAUGAUACAGAAGAGGUGACAAGGGGCCGUGGACAAUUCUGAUUUGAUGGAGAAUGGACGUGAAAGCACAGAGGAACAUCUGGAGAAAUUUCUGAAUCGCCCGUUCGCUGCUGUCGUUACUGUGUGGUCGGGAAUCUUUUGGAGGGUAGGCCUCAAAAUCCCCGGCCUCGCCUGCUUUUGGUGACUGAGAAGGAGGUCGAAUCGUUCGGACAGAGAUGGCGACUUCUUCCCUGCAAAUCUUGGCGCUGUCAGUGACGAGCACGGUGAAAGGUUUCACCAGGACAUUGCGAUCAUGGAGAAACGGUAUCAGGGCAACUGGAAUCCAUCAAUGCUGGCUGAUUAUUGUUGGACACUUAAGCGAGAAGCCUCAGACACUGAGUUCAAAUGAAAAUCUUUAACAGAAUAUUUUUACCUCAGUUGACCUAUUGCAAAGCAUCAGCACUGUUAUGCAAUUAAACACAUUAUAUUCAAUAAAAGUUAAUUUCUCGUUUCUCCAAAUUCCAAGGUGAUACAAGUAGUCUGAAAUUAUAUUUGUGUUCAACUUCAAGCGAUCUAUUUUAAA